rnacentral:lncRNA from 10 species
GCUCUUGUUUCCCAUCAGCCUCUGGGUCCAAACUAACCACAGGUCUCUGGGUCCUUUUCCGGUGUCCUUAAGGUUCUUGGACUCUGCAUGUGCUGCCAGGUUGCCAGAUUUCUAAGAAGGAGUUUGAAGAGGAGAAAAGGAUUUUUGCAUGUUUAGAAAUCAAGGUUCAGGAGAAUCUUGACAGUGAAUGUGUCUCAUUACAUUGAAUAACAGCUACAGGAUGUUCGAGAGCUGAUGGAGUCUCGCUCUGUCGCCCAGGCUGGAGUGCAGUGGUGCGAUCUUGGCUCACUGCAAGCUCCGCCUCCUGGGUUCACGCUAUUCUCCUGCCUCAGCCUCCUGAGUAGCUGGGACUACAGGUGCCCGCCACCACACCCAGCUAAUUUUUUUUGUAGUUUUAGUAGAGACGGGGUUUCACCAUGUUAGGAUGGUCUCGAUCUCCUGACCUCGUGAUCCACCCACCUCGGCUUCUCAAAGUGCUGGGAUUACAGGCAUGAGCCGCCGUGCCUGGCCCUUCUUUACCUAUUUCUUAAGGAUACAUUUCUAGAAGUGAAGUUUUGGGUAAAGAAUUUGCCCCAAAUGCCU